GAUGAACGCUGGCGGCGUGCCUAAUACAUGCAAGUCGAACGAAACUUCUUUAUCACCGAGUGCUUGCACUCACCGAUAAAGAGUUGAGUGGCGAACGGGUGAGUAACACGUGGGCAACCUGCCCAAAAGAGGGGGAUAACACUUGGAAACAGGUGCUAAUACCGCAUAACCAUAGUUACCGCAUGGUAACUAUGUAAAAGGUGGCUAUACUACCGCUUUUGGAUGGGCCCGCGGCGCAUUAGCUAGUUGGUAGGGUAAAGGCUUACCAAGGCAAUGAUGCGUAGCCGAAUUGAGAGGUUGAUCGGCCACAUUGGGACUGAGACACGGCCCAAACUCCUACGGGAGGCAGCAGUAGGGAAUCUUCCACAAUGGGCGAAAGCCUGAUGGAGCAACGCCGCGUGGGUGAAGAAGGUCUUCGGAUCGUAAAACCCUGUUGUUAGAGAAGAAAGUGCGUGAGAGUAACUGUUCACGUUUCGGCGGUAUCUAACCGGAAAGCCACGGCUAACUACGUG
rnacentral:rRNA from 1 species